GCCUGCUGCUCUGCCUACUUGUGAUAUCUCUCUCUCUCUGGCUAUCCAACUGAAACCAAUUGAGGGUAAUUAUAGGAAGGACUUCAAGCCACCCUCAGCUUCCCUUCAAUCUCCCAUAGAUCAGAACACCU